rnacentral:misc_RNA from 1 species
GCGGCGAGUGAGCGGCAAAAGCUCAAAUUUGAAAUCUGGCACCUUCGGUGUCCGAGUUGUAAUUUGAAGAUUGUAACCUUGGGGUUGGCUCUUGUCUAUGUUUCUUGGAACAGGACGUCACAGAGGGUGAGAAUCCCGUGCGAUGAGAUGCCCAAUCCUAUGUAAGGUGCUUUCGAAGAGUCGAGUUGUUUGGGAAUGCAGCUCUAAGUGGGUGGUAAAUUCCAUCUAAAGCUAAAUAUUGGCGAGAGACCGAUAGCGAACAAGUACAGUGAUGGAAAGAUGAAAAGAACUUUGAAAAGAGAGUGAAAAAGUACGUGAAAUUGUUGAAAGGGAAGGGUUUGAGAUCAGACUCGAUAUUUUGUGAGCCUUGCCUUCGUGGCGGGGUGACCCGCAGCUUAUCGGGCCAGCAUCGGUUUGGGCGGUAGGAUAAUGGCGUAGGAAUGUGACUUUGCUUCGGUGAAGUGUUAUAGCCUGCGUUGAUGCUGCCUGCCUAGACCGAGGACUGCGAUUUUAUCAAGGAUGCUGGCAUAAUGAUCCCAAACCGCCCGUCUUGAA